AAUGAACGUUGGCGGCGUGGAUUAGGCAUGCAAGUCGAACGGGCCCGCAAGGGUCAGUGGCGGAAGGGUGAGUAAGGCGACGGCAACCAACCCCGAGGAUGGGUACAGCCGCGGGAAACUGCGGGUAAUCCCCAGCGAUGCGAGGGCGUCGGCAUCGACGCUUCGCCAAAUGGAUUCGUCCGCCUCGGGACGGGCCGUCGUGGUAUUAGGUUGUUGGCGGGGUAACGGCCCACCAAGCCGGCGAUGCCUACCGGGCGUGCGAGCGUGGCCCGGCACACUGGGACUGAGACACUGCCCAGACUCCUACGGGAGGCUGCAGUCGAGAAUCUUCGGCAAUGGGCGCAAGCCUGACCGAGCGACGCCGCGUGGAGGACGAAGGCCUUCGGGUUGUAAACUCCUGUCGAGGGGGAGAAAGGCUCCGCGAGGGGCUUGAUCGAUCCCUGGAGGAAGCACGGGCUAAGUUCGUGCCAGCAGCCGCCGUAACAC
rnacentral:rRNA from 1 species